rnacentral:lncRNA from 1 species
CCCCCCGCUGUAGCCAUUUGUGUUUUUGACCCCUGCAGUGAAAACCUGCACAUCGCAAAGGCUUCUUCAUAUAAUCUACUCCUGGAGGAAUCAUCUGUCUUAAAAAUAAUAGUGCAAUAACUUCUUGGCAAAUACAAGUUCCCCACCUCCUCUCUGCCCUCAAUCUACCAUUCAGGCCCGCAUGUGAACCACUCGGGUCACAUCAAAAGCCAGCAGUCCCGACUGCCACGGAGGAGGUAUUUGGUUGACGCGGAGGACAGGACCUUUUGGGAGCAAGAGACAGUGCGAGCAGCAUUGGAGAUUUCACAUCCUUAUCCAGUCCCCACCUUAAGAGCAAAGAAUAAAGUGUCCCGUGAGAGGCCCCGACGGCAACGGCCAGCUUGUCAGAGGAGGGCCCAGGGCUCAGACACCCCCCUCUCGCCUGGGGCUUCCUCUUCCCUCAACAUCUUCAGCUCUCGUGACUUUUCUCUACUUGAGAAAACCUCUAUUCCUUGCAAAUUCGCGCGUCUCCUAUAAAAGAAAGCUCCUGAGAGAAUUAAUACAAUUAAGAAAUCGAUGCUUUCCUCCCAGAGAAAGGGAAAUAUUGACAUCACCUGGAGGGAACUUUAGACGCCAAGAACCGAUCAUGUACAGGCUUGCAGUUUCCACUCAAGGAGUGGUCUUUCGGAAGGAAGCUGCUGGAAUAUCUACCAGUAGAGGCCGGCUGCCACGGGAUUAAAACUAAAUGGGAAAGGAAGCCAUGAUCUCCAACCGGCAGCAUUUCCAUUAUUUUAAAAUCACAACAAAACAAACAAGAAACAAUUGCCAAUAAUAACAGUGCGUGUCCUCGUGUGCUCACUCUAAAAGAAACAACCUAAUUAAUCCAUUCAUUCCUGACAUAUGUGUCAACUGCCUAAUAAUAAUAAUUAAUAAUAAUAAUAGUAAUAAGAAGUCAUAAUGCCAGGCACUGCACGAGCUUUAACAUAAAUAAUCUUAUCCUCUUGACAGCCUAAUGAGACAGGUACUCUCAUCGGUAUCUACUUUUACAGAUGAGGGAACUGAGGCCAAGGAAGUUUCUGUACUUUGCUGUGGUACAAGCCGGGCCGUUUCCAGCAUUUGUAAUCCUGCAUUUUAACCCCAGAGCCUGGACUUUAAAGUGCUGCUGUGGAGUCUUAGUAACUGCCAUCUCUCUUUUAUCUCCAAAUCGUGAUCGAUGCCAAUGAAGUCAAACACGUCAAUAGAGACAGAAGAACGUCUCUCUAUAGGUAAAAACGUCACGUCGAUCACAGUGUCCUCGAACUCUUUCCCCAGGAAUGUC